GACGAACGCUGGCGGCGUGCCUAAUACAUGCAAGUCGAACGCAGUGGGGACGGGUGAGUAACACGUGGGUAACCUCCCAUCAGAGGGGAUAACCCUUGGCAACAGGUGCUAAACCCCAAAUUGUUGGAUGGUCUUGCGUGGCAUUAGCUUGUUGGUGAGGUAACGGCCUACCAAGGCCACGAUGCAUCGCCGACCUGAGAGGGUGACCAGCCACACUGGGACUGAGAAACGGCCCAGACUCCUACGGGAGGCAGCAGUAGGGAAUCUUCGACAAUGGGCGAAAGUCUGACCGAGCAACGCCGCGUGAAUGAAGAAGGUUUUCGGGUCGUAAAGCACUGUUGUUAGAGAAGCGGUAUCUAACCAGAAAGCCACGGCUAACUACGUGCCAGCAGCCGCGGUAAUUC
rnacentral:rRNA from 1 species